CUAGUUGGACUGUUUCCACUGCGCCACAGUAGGAACUCCCUGAAUGGAGUUUUGAGUUGGACUUUCGGGUUCCUUAUGGAGUAGGGGCCGCAUUCCCCGGAGCAUUGGAGGCGAAGCGAAGCCGUUCCUGUAAAAUGCAAGUUGGAUUAAAAGGAGGACCUCUCACCAAAGGCUCCAAUGAGCGGCGCACAGUCUCCUGUCGCCCACAGGUCCAGUACCACAGAAUGUACAACACCAAGUGAUCAGGAUGUGUUGAUGCGCCUCUAUCUAUUGUGACACAGGAUCCCCUUUGGCUACAGCCUCCAGACGUGCGGCUCGCCAGGGAGACUUGGCUGAAAUGGAAGGGGCUGCAAGUGUCCAGAGUCCUAGCCACGACGGACAGGGUGUCUGCCACAGGCAAGAUGGGAGAAUCUCCCCCAAGGAAGACCGGCCUCUGAAAGAGAAGGGGGGCGAUCGCCAUCCCUCCGAAAGAUGCAGAGAAAAAGGAAGCCUGGAGACCCGAGAGGGCUCUCGGAGCAAAGCAGGCCAGAUUCCAGUCAAUUCCUUCUUUGCAGCAUUGCUUUGGAGGGCUGGU